ensembl:lncRNA
GUGAAACUGUGGGAUUCCUGCACUCCUACAUAUGAGACCCAGACUGAACUCAAAGGACUGACCAGUUUACCUCCCCAACCAGACUACUUUCUUCAUAGUGCACAAUUGAAAUUGGAGUACACUCGGGUUUCCUUACUUUGAAAAAGCUCAGAAGGAGCAUUUACAUCUCCUAGUGAAAGACUGCAGAAUGGAGUUGAAAUUAAGUUAUUAGAGUUCACGAUUUGUCUUGGCCCAGAGCCUAAUCCAGUUUAUAAUCCAAGAUCUAUGUUGGAGUCUCUGCAUCAGUUUUCCAUGGAAAUAAAUCAGAGGCAUUGCUUUGGGAGCAACCUACAUGGAACUACACGUCUUACUGCUGCAAUUCAUAAACAGAAUAUUGACAAAUUCCUCAGAUUAUAAUUAUAACGAUCUGAAAAAUCAAAUGGCAAGAGUUUGAGAUGGGACUAGUUCACAUGUUGGAGUUGAAGUCAAAGAAGUCUGGACAAAUGGUGCUGAGUCAUGUAUAUAAUAAUUUCUUCAACAACUGCUUCCCAUAUUUGCAUGUUCAACUUUGCUAGGGAAACUUUUCUCAGUAUAUUUCAUGGACUCAGAUGUCAGAUCAAGGGAGAAACAUUCACUACAACCAGAGGUUACAGAGCUUAACAGACCUACAAAUUAACUUCAAGCUGUCGUUUGGUCUUAGAUAUGGUGAGCUUAAGCUUAUGGUCUUUUUUAAUUUAGAAAGACUAACAGGGAAAAAUGACAUGCAGAGUGACAGUCUUACAGAACUCUAGGAAUGGAUAUUUUAUAUGUUGAAACUAUGUCUGUACCAUUUUGAAUAAAGGCAAUUAUAUUCAUAUCUGGCUGAAAAUUAACCUGUAAUCUGCUAGGAUGUGAUGUGUAUAUUGAACAACUGCUAGGGGCAAAGAUCUGAAGUUUUUGUUGUUUGCAGAGAUCAUAUCUAGCUCUUCUGUGCCUCUAAUUCUAAACUUCUUGCACCUUGAGUACUGCAUUCAGUUUUGGGCCCCUAACUACAAGAAAGACAUUGAGGCCUAAGGAAUCUGGAGCACAAAUCUUAUGGAGAGCAGCUGAGGGAACUGGGGUUGUAUAGUCUGGAGAAGAGGAGGUUCAGGAGAGACCUUAUCGCUCUCUACAUCUACCUGAAGGGAGGUCGUGACAAGAUUCUAGGUAUUGAUACUAGUCUCACUGGGUGUCAUGAAAUCACGAAUCUUUCUUUCUGGACGUAUGCAUCAGGUAGGCAUUUAAUUGGCAUUUCUCUUUAAAAAAAAGUAGCUGCCUUAAUGUCUAAUGACUGAUUUGCCCUUCAUGAUACAUAAAUUGGUAGUAGCUUUUUUUUAUAUACAAAGAAAUACUCAUUCCCAUAGAGAAACCUUUUUCUCUUUCCUGAAUGAAAUGACACAGAUCUACAGUUUUCUGAGCCAAGCUUAUAAAAGGUUGUUACAAACGGAGCACAAUUGUGGGAGGUAGGGAUCUCAAAUUCUAAUUUAGGCAUUCUUUGAGGUAAAGAACUUGUGAUGCUCACUUUCAACUGUCCGAACACUCUUAUGUUUUUGAGAUAUAGGCUAACAUAGAGACUAGGAGGCAUAUAAGCUUAUAUGAUUCUCUGUACAGGGUUAGAUAUCAUUCAGUUUUGCUAUUGCUUUGUGUUUGUAAAUGUUUUAAAAUAUAAUGCCUUGUGUAAGAGCUAAAUCUUUUCAUAGCUUAAGUAGUUCUAGUAAAAUAGCAGAUUUUCCCUAAUCAUUUUAAUUACAAAAAGCAAUUGAUAAUCUCUCUCUUCUUUGGACAGAGAGAGCUUUUGAUUUACAUUUCUGUGCAUCUCAUUCUUUUUCUGAAAGCCUGUGUACACUACAAAAAAUUGAAAUAUUUUUCUUCAUAGGAGCAGCAUACAUAUAGGCACACAGAAACUUCAGUGUCAUUAUGGCUCUAUCCUUUUGAAAGCCUACUUUAAAAAAAAAUAAGGACCUAGUAUUUCUAAAGUCCUUAAGAAGGGAAAGAAGCUGCUGCAGACUUAGUUGAAGUGGUAUGACAGUAUUCCAUUACACAUUUGCCAUUUGAUUCUCCUGAGUAAAGCUUCACUAUAAUUGAACUCUACAUGUUUUGCACUUUGUGAACUCAACUGGUACCUCAUGCUUUUCUGAAGGAUGUAAAUGUAUUUAAACACUCACAGGUUAUGCAGUUUGUGAAAAUGGUACCGAACAGCUAUCUAUGGAUGUACUCUAGAAUAUUUGUGUUUCAGAUCAUCUCAUACUUUGCUGCUUCAUAGCAAAUAUGUAGGAGGGGCAUGAAGGGAUGAUAAAUACAUAGCAGAGAAGCUCAGCGAAAUCUUUCCAUUGGCAUUUAGCACUGAGACUCCAACACCUGAUGCACUUCUGUAGUAGAUAGACUAGAAUAUGUAGGUCAGUUUGAAGUAACUACAUCAAAAGUAUUGCUUCAGUCAGGCAUAUUAGACAGACUAGACUUGACUCAGUGUCAAGUGGUGGACAAUAAGCCACCAAAAUUUUGGACAUGUUUAGAAAAGUUAGUGAGAUUAUUCUUAGAAACAAAGAACACCCGAAUGGAGAGUACAGAGUACAUAACUGGUGUACCCAUACCCUGAGUCUCAUGUGUAGUUUGGUCUAGAUAUCUAAGGAAGGGUGUAGCAGAGUUGAAAGAAGUGUGGAGAAAAACAAGUAAAAUAUUUGAAGUGAUAGAGCAGAUGCCUUCUGUAGACACACUAAAAAGCUGGGAGACUUAAUUUAGAAGCAGAGAAGGCUGUGGGAGAAUAUGACAGAAGGUAGAUAAGUCAUAAACUGAAUACACAGAAUUUGUUCACAAAAUACCACAAUAUUAGGCCCCUGGGAACUUGAAAUCAGUUGAGGUUUUAUUUAAAGCUGGUGAAAUGAAGUUCUUUACACAGUGAACUUCAGAAACUGGGGUCAUUGGAGAAGGUGGAAGCAGCCAGUACUGGAAGGUUUAUGAAGGGGUAAAGCUCUCACAAAUGAGCCCUUAACCCUUUUAAGGCUGGGCAGAGUUGUAUCAACUGACAAUAUUCAUAAAACCAUUCUGUACACUGAGGAUGCGUAUAAGGGGAUUGAACUGCAGAAAGUGGCCAAGUUAUGUGCUCUCUUUGAAUGUCAACUAUUGAAUAUUGCACGAGUACACUCUUUCCUCUGAAGGAAAUUUACUAAGUAUCCUCAUUUUUGUCCAGCCAAAGAGUUUUGCAUGUGGUUUCUUUCAGAGUAUGUCCAAACUGCUCUUUAAACAAGACUGAAAUUUUUGUGUCUUUAUGAAUGAGGAUUGAAUAUUCCUUUGCAAUACCCAGGCUACCUCAUCCAGUGUGGAAGUAUUGAAUGAUUCCUAUGCAGAAAACAAAACAGCAUACAGGUUCUGCUAAGUCUGAUCAAGAAACAAUGAGGUGAUAUGUCCUGAAAAAUUCAGUCAUUGCUAAGAAUUCAGUACAAUUCGUUCAAAAUAGUGGAAUUAGUGAUAUCUUGACUGAAUGGAGAAAGAAACUUGUACGGUUUUGUUUCUGCAGACAGUAAGAUAAGUAACAGUUAUGGACUAACAUCACUGGUAGCAAUGUACAGCAAAUUAAUGAGAAAGCAAAGUGUCAACAGACUUCUGGGCAUACAAUAAUAACAAACAUAGUAGAAGAGGAAUCCAAUAUCACAUCUUAUGCCAUUUACUUAUUUGCCAACUUACGUUUCCACAGGCCACUGAAAGCAAUAGCCGCUUGGUUAUGGCAGAAGGUUACAUAUUAUAAAAUAUUUUAGUGCUUCUUUCCAGAGUCAGAAGUACAUAUAUAAAUGAAUUAGAGAAUUAAUAGAAGGGUGCAGGAAACCUUAAAAUCCUUGCUUCUAAGAGAUUAUAGUGAAAAAUAAUAAACAGAUAUCAAAGAGAAAAGGUGUGUUUGAACUACUUCCACCUGUUAAGUAUAAUAAUCUCUCUUUCAUUUUGAACAGUUUUGAAGCAUCAAACACCUUGUGAAUUUCUUACAUAUCUGGGCUUUGGAAGCCUGAUGUUGUACAGGGUAAAUAUUUAAAUCUUUAAGGUGGGUACUGAUGUGAGUGGAGAAUACAAACAUAACAACUAUGCAUUGCAAUAAAUGAUAAAGUGAGAUUGUUGAGUUUUAGCAGUGCAAGAAUUACAUGACAUUAGCAGUAUCCAAUAGGUCUUGGAUGGAGAAAUCUUAGUAAAGGCUUUCUGUUCAGACAUGGUUUUAUAAGUAACAUACGUUAUUCAGGUGUGGAUAUAUGAUGAGAUUUUUUAGACUGUUGCAUUAUUCCAAUAUUAACUUUAGCAUAUACCUUUGAUAGUGAUAACUCCCAAUUUAUGCAGUGACUAUGGUUAUGGUCAACUGAGUAACCCAUGAAAAGAAUUCCACAUGAUGAUUUAAAAAUAGUCAAAUAUUCUAAUUUUUUUCACAUAAUUAUGUGAAAAAAUAUAUAAAUACAAUUUUAUAUUACUUAAGAAAAUAGUUUUUAUUCAGGAAACUUACAUAAGACACUGAAUGAAUUGAACAUAUAUAUUUUAAUGACAAGCAAACAGCAAUAAAAUUAGGAACACGUUAAAGUUUGUCCUGCAUAUCCCUAAAAGAAUACUGAAAAAUAAUUCAAGAGAAUUGUUUUCUAAAACCUAUUGUGUAUUUGUUUAGAUUUUAUAGAAAAUAAUGAUCACAUGAAGCACACCGCAUCAAUUAGGUUUAUAGAAACAAAACACUGUGUUAAUAGUAAUAUGCAAGUAAAUUAACUGUUAUCUCACACUCUUAAAUGUAUUAGUAGUAAUAUUAAACUUCAGUGUAACUGAAAGUACUGCUAAAUUUAAAGCAAAUAUCUGAUUUUUAAAUUGACAUUAAUUGAAGCCCCAAUCUCUCUCUCCCUACCUCUGUAAUCGAUUAGGUUUGAAUACUUACACAGCAAAUCUCUGAAGUCAUUUCAGACCCAGCGUUUGUGUGCAGAAAACAUUACAUAAGUCAUUUCAAAUACUAAAAAAAAAUAGAGAAAAUUUAAUUGUGGAUUAGAAAAAAUCGUUGAAUAAAUUAUAUUUAUUAUAUUUUCUGAAUGAUUUCCUCUUUAAUAAGCAGACACGCCAGUAGAAAACAGCCAUUGGAAUAUCUAUUAUCUCUUCAUCCUUUUAUCCUCUUGCAAUUCUCUUGGGGAAGCAUACAUGUAUAUGCUGCAUGAAAUGUUAUUAACUGACAUUAAGUCUCUCAUCCCCUUAGGCCGUGGAUUUUUUCCUGCUACUUUACUGACCAUUAAGCAGCUCUUGUGGAUGUGAUCUGGAAAUUAUUGUAUUUAUACCUUAUAGAGCACAUGUAUUAAACCGCUCAUUAGGUUUUGAUAUUACAUGACUUCAUAAGCCUCAUAUGAGCUACAGCAGCAAUUAUGUUUUAGUAUAAUGAUGUGAAAAGGACAAACUAUUGGUUCUUUAAAUGUGUGCCGAAGUCUUUUAAAAUAUUAUCUGUCAUCUCUAAGGUGUCUGUUUUUAACUCUUCUUCAUGUCAUAACUAAGUAUGAUUAAGGACAAAGUAAGACUGCCUGCUUUGAGUGCUGUCAGAAGCCACAGGGAACCUUUUUGCUCCGGCUGACUUGCACUGGUGGAAGGCAAUACUUUGUGGCUUGUGCUUUGAGAGGGAAAAUUAAGAUGGUGCUACAUGUCCAGACAUGCCUCUGAAGAAUGUUGGAAAGUUGACUAUCUAAGUUUGUGCAGCAAAGGAUUUGCUGAUAGAUAGCAUGAGAGGUAGCAUGGUGAGAAGGAAAUUAUACCUAUUGCACAGAUACCUCAGCUGCAUUCUCCACCAAUUAUUUUGAAAAUAUUUUGCUGUUUGUACCCUUCUUCUUUAUAACAGCACCAGCAGAGCACCAACUAGAAUGCAUCUAUCUCCUUCUUACUUUCCAGUUUUUCUCAGGUGUCUUAGAUCAGAAGAUUUCAACCAAUUUUAAUAUUCAUUCUAUUUAAAACAUUGUCUUUUUUUCCCCCAAAUCUUAAAGGCUCAAAACAGUUCCCCAUGGGAAAACUAAAGACUGUACCAACACAAGAAUCUCAUUAUCUUUUGCACCUGCACUUUCUGUCUAUUUUUAUAUUUUAUGAUGCUGCAGUUCUUUCUACAGUCAUACUGACUGCAUUAAAUUAUGUAAAGGCAGAGUCUUGUGACACCUCUGAACCAACAGGCAGGAGAAUACAAAAUCUUUCUUUUGCUCUCACCCUGACUCAAAAUUAAAUUCCAAAAAUUAUAUGCAAAUAAUAUCACCACUCUCAGUUUAAUGAAUGGAAUCAAAGAACGGCAAGGGCAAAGACGUAAGUUUUAUCCUCUGCUAGUACUGAAGAAUUAGCACUAGAAUUAGUAUGAAUUUGCAUUACUAAAUGAUCAUUGAAUGACAUGAUAACUGGGUGCAAUUCAAGUUUGUUAAUAUUUCUAAACGAUAGCAUCGUUUUUUUUGCUUAAGGCUCAGGGCUGAACAAGGAGCACUGACUUCCCUGCCACAGACUUGCAAGGUGACCUUGACAAAUCACAGAACAUAUCUGUACCUCAGUGUGAGACGGGAGAAAUUAAAACAUUUCCUAGCUCACAGAGGCAUUGGUAAAGCUCAGUUAAUCAAAGUCUUUCAAGAUCUUUAGACAGAAUAAUCUAGAUAAGAGCAAAGUAUUAUUAUUCUUACUAAAGAGGACCUCUCCUGAGCACUUAAUUUUUCAUUUUAUACAAACUUUUUUGCUUAUUUACACUGUCAGCAUACAGAGUGAUAGAUCCUUCUGACCUGAUUUGUGUGAAGCUUGUCAAGAUACAGAUGUUUUUAGCACUAUAUCCCUGUUAGGAUAUGACACAAUACAUCAUAACAGCUCCAUCAGAGCCAUUAGGGUGUAAGUUGUCAAUGCAUAAUAAGAUUACUAUGCGUUAUAGCAGGUGGUGCUCAAAUAACACUGAAGCAUGAACACUGUGGUAGCAUCUAGAAUCCCUUUGAAUACUGGUGUUGCAAUACCUUUCUAAUGUAUCUAGCAUUAUCUUUUUGUAGUAAAAUAUUUCUUGUUGUGCAUGAAGAACUAUUUUUUUGGUAAAAUAAGUAACUGUUACAUUUUUGUUGUUUCAGAAAACGUAGAGGUCUACAAAUGUUUCUGUUUGCAAAAGAAGUUGUUUUUGUUUAAAUGAAGGGCAAAGCCUGCCAACAACUCUGUAAAUAUUAGCCAAAUAUGUUCAAAGUUUUACUGUUAGAAAACCAGCCUGUAAGAAGUUUGGAUUCAAAAUGGCUAUUGAAACAGUACUGUCAAAAGGUUCUAUUUAUAGAUUUUAUAUACAUACAUAUAUAAAUAAAUGGAAAAUGUUGUUUUAUGCACAAUAUUAAUGAGUAUAAUUGAGCCUGGAAAAAUGAGACAUUCAAAUAAUUUUAAGUUGGUGUCUGAAAAACUCUGCUGGUUUUCUAUCUAGGAAAGACAUCAAGGAAAAGAAUCAGCAGAACUUGCAGAGAAAGACUCAAUACUGCUAGGUUUGUACCUCCCUGUCAGUAUAACCUAUGAGCAUUACCCAUUCACUGGUGAAUUUAUGCUUCUCAUGCAUUUGUGAAGGAUCUCUUCUUAAGGAGAACUGAAAAACUGGCUUAUUGAGGAUCACGAUAAAGUCUGUAGCAGAACAUAGAGGAAAAGUGAACUUUGCUGAUAUUUUCAUAUCAUCACUAUUAAUCUGUAAUUCAAUGUGUGAAGCUUUUUCACAUUAUUGCAUUAUUCCUGAAAUGCACUCCAAGCAGGCAAACUGGCAAGCUACAGUGACAUACAUACACAUAUGUAGAUUUUGCAUGAGGUCUUAUAUGUGCAUUCACAUCUGCCUGUAUGGAAGCAGGUUGAGGUAGGUCUUUUAUAAAGUGAGAGAUGAAGGAAAAGUGCAGAAUUCAAAUGCUUACAAUGUUUUCAAGCCUUUGCAGAGAAGAAUGAGGUGAAUGGCUUCAAAGAAAAUUUUUCAUAUUUAGGCAUUACUGCAUCUUCAGUAGGUAUGAGUCCUCCUAAACAUGGAAGUUAUAGCCUCUCCCAGUAAGAUGUAUAGUGACUGUGUGAGAUGUAUGAUUUUCUUUCUGUGCAGUAGAGGCAACAGGCAGGGACUGACCUAUGAUCAGAAAAGUCCAAUAAAUUUUCCAGGAAUAUAUAUUCCAAAUGAUAAAAAAUUGAGUAAGAAAAGGAAACAGUCCAGUCAUUUUUCAUAAAUGUGUUGUUCAAAGACUUCCUCAUAAAAAAUCAAAUAUCUUUCUGGUACAGCAAAGAAAGGUAAAUAAGAUAUGCAUUCUGACACUUACACAGAAUAACAAGCAGGAAACAUGCUGUGGUCCUUGAAGAAGACAUAGAGUACAAAUAAAUAAAAGAAAAUACAGAAAAGGAAAGAAAAAAUUAAAGAAAAAAGAAGAAUGGGGAGGAACGUCAAUGAUAUGACCCGUGGCAUGAAUACAGUCUCUUUCUGUUAUUACAGCAAACAGAAAGAAGUUAGAAAUAGAAAUGCUUUCAAAUAAAGGCUAACAUGGGGGAAACAAUAAACUGAAGGGAAGACUUGCUCAUCUAAAAGACUAUCUAACAAAAUAACUUGGAAAUAACCUUCAUUGUUUUUUACUCAGGUUAGAGUAGAGUAGUUCACAUGGAGGAGAGAAGUCAAAGAUGAAUUGAAUUUGCUCAGGAACAAAAUUUCCACUCAUAAAAAUGGGAGCUUGUACUGGAAAGAAAAAAAAUAUAUGAAAUGCUGGGAAUGAUCUAGACCAAGUAGCAAAGAGUGAGAGUUCUGAAAACAAACCUAUCUUUGUUUCCUCCAUGUAAAGUUUGUUAAAAAAAAGAAAAAAAAAAAAAAAGAAAUGUUUAAGAUCUAGAAGUCUUCUGCAAAUGAUAUUAAAGGAGGCUAUUCUUAUAGAUCUAUAAAGCCAAAGGCUAAGUAAUGGUGGAAGAAAAGGAGAAAAGUUUAUUCUAACACCCUCCCAUGCUGAGCAAGAACACUGAAGACCAUAUCUUUUCAAAAGCAACAUUUGCUGAGACAGCAGGAUUUUUUUUUCCAGAAAUUAAAUUCUUCUUUGCCCCCAGUACAAAGCUGAAUAUUUUUUCUUGGAAGGCUAUUUCUGAGCCACAACCCCUAGACUGUUAGAAACCUUUUAAUUUCCAGCCUAAACUUACUCAUGAACAGUCUAUAUCUAUUUGUUUUUGUGCCAGCACUGUCCUUUUGUGUUAAUUGUACAUCUAUAUCAUGUAGCUAUUUGUAGGUUAUUUCGUAUUUCAAAAGAUAAUAUCAGUAUUUUUAAAAGAAAUCACCAGCUGAGAUUCUGAGGAUAAAAUUAGUUGUUGCAACAGCUGUUUGAUCAUAAAGUUAUUGUCUAAAAAGCUUAUGAACACAAUAAGAUGUGAUUUCACUUCACUUUAGGGGGAAAUAACAUGCUGUAUCUUUUUAUUACUUCUAUUUAUGACAUUCAGUAAUGAAAUAGAGUUAAAAUAAUUUUCAGGAAAACAGAACUUGAUUUAAGAAUAAAACAGACUAGAUGAAGUCUUUAUUCAUUCAUUAAAGGCAAGAGGCUAUUUUUCAACCUUUAUUCAAGAAACUUGAUGAAGUUUUCUUUUGGGUCUGGUUAAUUGUUUGGCUACAGUAUUUAUCAGUAUGACAACUGAUUGACAACUGCAUAACAACCAGCUACUUCAGAAGCAGAUUUGCACAAGUGGAUUUUUGAAGGAAGGAAAUUGAAAGUGUCAAGCUGAGAGAAUGAAGAGUGUCCAGGUCUAUGCAAACAUACUGUUGAGAUUAUACUGCUAGGUUGUAAGCCCUUCUGAGCAAUGAUAGUCCCUUUCCAGAUGCCUGUGAGCAUUACCUAUCUUUAAUGCAUUAGUAUAUAGAAAACAUACAUGUUUUCUCUCUUUCCUCUUCAAAGGAAAAAUGCAGAGUAAAUUUCAGUCUGUCAGAAUCUUUAGGAAACAUUACAGGGAUUUCCCUGCAGCACUUUCAUUUCUAUGCAGAACAAACUGAAGAGGUGCAAAGCAGUAUAUCAGAAAUUCUGUUUCUUGGUUGUAUGAAACUUCAGAUUUACCUUCCUAUUCUCAUUAUUAAUUACCUGCAAACCCUCCAAGAACACUUUCUGUGCCACAGCUGGACACUUUUUUCUCUACCCUCAUCUGCCAAAAGGUUGGUACUCUGUCAGAGAUGAGCUGGUGUCUCAUUUCUCUCUAUCCCUCUGUUUUUUCUCUUGCGCAUUCUGGCAGCGCAGGGCUCUUCUUUAUUAACCUUUUCCAACUGAAUAAGCCAGAACAACACAUGACUUCUGACCUGAAGCAAUACAGCCAAGUGAGUAGGCUGGCUAUCUAUUUGCACUGCCUUUCUACACGAGGUCCUUUUCCUCGGUAGACAUAAUGUACCAGAGAUGUAUUAGAGAUAAGGAUAAUGUGUCUGUCUGCCUGUUCUCCCUAUAGCUUUGGGAGACAAGCAGGAUGAAUAUGAGAGUGCAGUGGUAUGGGCCAAAUGCAAUGAGACUCCCACAAAUAUGGUGAGAUAAAAUGCUGUGGUGAGUAUUGCUGUUUGUAAUUCAGCUGAUCAUAAAUGUAAACAGGAUAUAGUAGCUGUAAGAAUAAAAUGAAUCUGAAGGUACUGGUAGCUACUCUGAAGCUUGUAUUAUUAACAAAAAUCAGAAGCAAAGCGUUCACUGAAGUCCUGGUUUUCAUGUACUUAUAUUUGGCAAUGUUAUUUUAAUCUCCUGACCUUGUUUUAUUUUUCUGUACUGUUUGUCUUCCCUGGAAAUGUUUAACUUGCUAGGUUAAAAUUAGCUUUGUGUUAUGGAGAUACUGUGCUAGGCUACUGGGAUUUUUCUCUCCAAACUAACCUGAUCUUUAUCAGUUAUUGCUCAACAUCUGCAUAGCUCUGUGUCUCUCUUACAUCUAAACAACUAUAUUUGGUAGCUUGCCAGCUGAUGGCAACAGUAACUUCAAAUAAAUUUGAGGAAAGUUUACAUCCCACUCAAUGCACUUUAUUCAAGGCAAUUUUUUUUCAAGUAUGCUAAGCCUUGUGGGCUUAAUCCUGCAGAUGCUAUUAAAUAGGCCCAACUGCUAAGGAGUUGCCUCUUUAAAGCAUUCUCUCCUUCAUGUCUGCGAGACUCCAAUACAUUCCACAGAGAGGCUGUUGACAUUCAUUUUCUACCAUUACUCCCACAGAACAUGUAAGUUCAAAAAAAAAAAAAAAAAAAAAAAGAAUAAACCUUUCCUGUAUGUUAACUCUGUAUCUUCCUAGCAGCAGAGGCAUGUAGAAAUAAUGACAAUUUUUAGCCUAAAUAAGCUGCUAAAAUACCUGCUCCACAUGGUAUUUCUUGUUUCUCCCCUGAAAUUGACAAAUGACAAAUUAAUUCCACCCCAUGGUAACUUAUGUAUAAAACUACUUUGGAAAUUAGCACAAAAGUACCUUUAUCUUCUGUGAAAACAUAUUCUGAGAAAUUUGUGAUGGCAUCUUAUUGGCACAGUAAUUAAGCAUGAUUGUUAUCUUCAUGAGCCCAUGGGAAAAAUCCACUUCUAAAGUGACCCUAAGUCUCGUGCCAUAUUUAGCUAGUCUUAGAAACAUCUCUGUAAAUUGACAAUUCAUUCUUCUAUUCAGGCUUUUAAUGUUACUAUUGGCACUAAAAGGUUAUUAUUUAGGGGGUAAACACACUAACAAUAAACAGUCUGAUUCUUUCUUGAUACACAGCUAUAGCACUUCAAUAGAAAUUAAGAAUAUUAAAGUUCAAAUGCUAACUCUUCUGAAGAAAAGUAGAAGUCUUACAUAGAUCAUCAUCUACAUGGAUGAACAUAUUGGAACCUUUGUAGUUCUGUAAGUUCCCCAUGGAGUGUGAGUUUAAUUCAAUUGUAUUCUGGAUAAUGAAGAGCAAUUUAAAUAAAAUACACAUAAGUUUAAUUAAUACAGACAAUAGAUUAUUUAAAUUUUGACUGUAGUUUUCUAUUUUUAUUUAUGAUUAAAAUAUGUUUAAUUAUUGUAGUAUAUAGUCGACAUGAAAUGAAAUUCACAUCUGUGUUGUGUAUUAUUCUGCUUAUAUAGCACAAACAUUUGCAGAUGUACACAGUGGUUAAAAUAGCUCACAAAAUCAAAUUGAUGAUUGAAACAUUGGAUACUUCUCUUAGGCAAAUAAAAGCAGAAAAUGCCCAGAAUGUAUAUGUCAGUCUUCCUAGAAAAUAUUCAAGUGGAGUCAAAGCAUACAUUGUUACUCAUGAAGCAGUAAGAGCAGAUCCUAUUCUUCUUUUCCUUUUAUCGUUAUUCUUGUUUGUUGCAAACAUUUCUUAUUCCUGUGACCAUUUUGGACUGAUUUGGCAAUCUCCCACUCUUGGGCUGCAUGCUUAAUCAAACAAGCAAUGCUGCAAGAGCCAGCAGGCAUGCUGGAAUGAAGUGAGUUUUGUCACAGUACAUACUCACAAGAUCGGUUCCAAGGAUGCUCAGCAGAAAGACAAAGAUAUUAAAUGCAAUUCGUAUAGCGAAGAUUUUCAAGUGCCCGCAUGAAAUUCCUUUAGAAGUGUACAGUUUCAGAAAACAGCCUUGAGUGUAUAGAGACAUUCAUCACAAGAUACUGUUCUUUGCCUCAGCCAGUUCCUUGGGGAUCCAAUUCCUAAGAAGAUCAGCCCCUGGAAACUAAAUAUUUCAAUUCAGUGCUUUUCUAGAGUUCUUUCUGCAUUCAUUCACCAGUGUCAGCUGUAUACAAACACCAUUAAAAGAACAACUAGAUGGAAAAUCUUAAACUUGUGAGAGAAUCAUAGAAUCAUUGAAUGGUUUGGAAUGGAAGGGACCUUUCAGACCAGCUACUUCCAACUCCCUGCUAUAGACAGGGACACCUCCUUCUAGACCAGAUUGCUCAAAGCCCCAUCCAGCCUGGCCUUGAAUACUUCCAGGAAGGGGCAUCCACAGCCUCACUCGGCAACCUGUUACAGUGUCUCACCACCCUCACAGUAAAGAAUUUCUUCCUAAUAUCUAAUCUAAAUCUGCUCUCUUCCAGUUUAAAAUCCUUUCCUCUCAUUCUGUCGCUACACUCCCUUGAAAAAGUCCCUCUCUAGCUUUCCUGUAGACCCCCUUCAGGUACUGGAAGGCUGUUGUAUGAUUCCCCCUGGAGCCUUCUCCUUUCCAGUCUGAAGAGCCCCAGCUCUCUCAGCCUGUUCUCUCAGGGGAAGUGCUCCAGCCCUCUGAUCAUCUUCAUGGCCCUACCCUGGACCCACUCCAACAGCUUCACAUCCGUCUUGUGUUUGGGGCUCCAGAACUGGAUGCACUACUCCAGGUGAAGCAGAGUAGAGGGACAGAAUCACCUCCUUUGACCUGCUGGUGAUGUUCCUUAAGUAUUUUCAGGAGCUAAGGCCAGGAAUGUCAAUCUACAGUGUAGGUGAAUAGCACUAAGGCCAUGCAGAAAGCCUGGUCCAUCCAACCCUGGAAGACAAGGCUACCACUACCGCAGAAUUCCUACAUUUAAAGCAAACGAUGAAGUGCAUUUUCAUAGAUAUUGAAUGUUUAAUGAUUUCAAGUCUCAUGAGAGACUGCAUGCAGUAGAGGCAUAAGCAAGUCAUGAAAGCUGAUAUGAAGCAAGUAGGCUAAAAUGCACAAAUUGUCUAAUUCUCAUAUCAUUCUGAUAUAUCCAGGCCAAGAAUUGGAAAGGAUGCUGAAGAAUAGUUUCUUUUCCAUUUUUUUUUCCCUUGGAAACAAGCUCAUUUUUAUAGCAACAUGUCUGAUCUCACCAUUCAAAACGGAGAAUAUCCCAAGUUUGAUGCCUUGAGAUACAAGAGGAGGUUAAGAGAUGCAUAUCACUUCUAGAAAUGAACAACAGCUGCAUCCAGGCUUCUCCCUGAAAAUGGGUGACUUCUCCAGACACGGAGGACAUGAGCCAUAGACCCAAGAGAUUUUCACACAAGUGAUCACACCCUUGACAAGCUGGCUGAAGUUCAAUCCUAAAAGGCCAAACAGUUUGUCUGCAAUAGACAGAGAAGAUAAGACUUCCUGACAGAAGUCUCUUCAUUUAAUUGUAUAAUCCUCCACACUGAUCAAGGAAGAAAACUUAGGGUCAUUGCUCAGUGAAUUGCCUUACAAUGCACGACAAUUACAUUGGAAGCAAAACAAAGGUACCAGCUUAUAAAGAGAAAAAGAAAAAAGAAAAAAAAAAAAAAAAAGGAAAUCUCUAGUUCAGUUGGACAGAUUUGCAAGGAUCUUCGAAAAUGUGAAGGAAAUGGCUUUCUUCAAUCAGUUGUGUCUGUGUGGAGAGUGAAGGUGAAUAGUCUCAGCUCAGGAGGAAUGUAAUUUGGAAAGGUACGAGCAGCUGAGAAGGGAUUCUCAUGGGCACAGCGUUUGAACACUAAAGUGGCGGCUAUCUUUCCCACUGCAAUAAAAGGGAAGCCGGUAACAAUGGUGUGCUAUAAAAAGCAAAGGAACAUUUUUCUUUGUCAAACAACCACACCUCUCUGGCAGUGCUGCUGCUGUUGCUGCAGUACACUGGCUGAAAUCCACUCUGCCUUUGAACUCUACUGUUACAGAAUUUCAAUUAAAACUGAAAACCACACAAAGGUUGUGGGCAUAAAGAAUACCAAAAAGACACAUCCAUACCAUUGAUUGUUUUUGUUUUUCUUGGUCUGAUUAGGAAAUAAUGAUUUAAGCUGAUGGUGAGAUCCCAGGUAUUGCUGUAUAGGAAAAUUUUACCUAAUUAAAGAUGGGGAAGAACUAUAGAAAAUUCUCCAAGAUCAGAGCUGCCAUUCAAAAGAAAAAGUCAUACUGGGGUUCAAAAUCCCUCCAGAAACUGUUUCACUCCAUUAAAAAAAAAAAAAAAAAAGUAUUUGAAGCCUGGAGGAAGAAUACAAUUUAAGAGAGUUUUUACCUUAAGUGAUGUACCCAACAAGGCCUUAUGUAUGCUGCAACAAGCUACAGUACCUGCAGGGUGCUUAUCUACCAUGGAAGUCUUCUAUUAUCUCAUUCUUUACAUGAAUGAAAGUUGAAUAAAGUUUCUUCUUUCUCAGAAACCAUUACACUGAUUUGACUGGGUCUGGAAGUAGCAGAAUGUUUUCCACCCAAUUAUUUUCAACUGAUUGAGAAUGUAUUACUUUACUCAUAGGCACUUUGGAGUUUCAAUGACUAUGUGAAGGACAGUACUUCCAGUAACAUUUAGAAACAUUCUGAGUGGAGAGAAGAUGAAAAGAAAAACCAAAACCAAAAACAAAACCACAACCAAGCAAAACACUUAGUUGUUUAAAAAUGCAUCCAUUUUCUCAUGUUUUGUUUUUUUUUUUUUCUUCUGGAAAUCAAUGCUGCAAGUUAUUGUUGUUAAUUGUAAUGAGAUCAUAAGUUUAGAAAACAUUCCCUCAUAAAAAAACAAAUGUCUUUUAAUAAAGUAUGAGAAUUGUGGAAUGACUAUUGGUAAUAAAAAUGAAAUCUGACAAAGAAUACAGAAUAGCCACAGUGGGGAUAACAGAUAUAUUUCUUUGGAACUGUUAGCUGCAUUAACAUCAUAUAAAACUGUGUUCUAAGAUAUCUGAGUUCUAUGUGAAGGAUCAUAUGUAAAUUUUAACUAAACUGGAGCCAUUAUAUUAUCAUAGGUACAAUGUGCUAGAUAGAAGGCUGUUUCACAUCCACUGAAUAGAUGUGUAUGUUCAUGCAUGUAUGCAUAGCUGUAUGUCUAUAAAUAUAUUCAUAUGUUUAGAGAAAACUUGAACUGGUGGAAAACUGAAAGGACAGGAGGAAAGCAUAGUUUGACUAAAAAGCUAGUUGUUCCAUCUUUCUGUUUCUUUAUUCACCAUAUUUACAUUUUAAUCAGAAGUUGGACUCAAUCCUUAGGCAUCCCUUCCAACACGGGAUAUUCUAUGAUUCUAUGAUUCUAUAUUUAUUUCCCUGCUCACUUCUUUUGUAUAAAACCUACUUUCUAAUUCAGUUGGGUAACUCAUCUUUAAUAUUAUUUUAACAGAUCUUGUCUUACUUUCAUGGAGUAGUCACAGCAAAGGUUGCAUUGUAAAAGAAAAUUGCCUCACUACUGCACUGGGUUUUCUAAUUAGUAUAUCUGGUACCACCAUUGGAUAUUUGGAGAAGAAGAAAAGAGAGAGGAAAGAGAGACCACUGUUAAUCACCCCUUACUAGUAGUUGAGGCCCUCAACUUGUUAUUUAAUUUUCAGUUUUACAUACCUCGAUUUCAGAAAACAAAUGAUAGAAAAAGAACCUCAGCUGCAUACCCCGGCUUGCAGGCAAACCUCUUCUAUAAAUAUGUGACCAUUUUAUGAAACUGUAUGGAAGAGAAAAUACGACUAUGAACUUAUGAACAUGUCGAGUGUUUCCCAAAAGAGUUUUAUGGUUUUAUGAUCUAUGAGUUGAAUCAACUCAAAGGAAACUUGAUUUUAUUAAGAACAGCAUCUCAGAACUCAUCUGUGGGUUUGGAUUUCCAACACACUCCUGUAAAUUUGUUGAAUUAUUUAUUUGCAGUGAUGAGACGAGAACAGGAUUCUUCAAGUGGGCUGUACAGUUUGCAUGUCUUACAAAAAAUCUGAUCCAGAAAGACAGAUCUCCAUCAUUCUUAUAUAAGUCUUUUAUAAAUUUGCCCACUGUUAUUGUAAAAUUAGUCUUUUUACAGGAGUGAAAUUUCAAAUUGCUGAAACACUUUCCUGUAGAAUCAUGAAGUGAGAAGAAAAAAUUGAGAAGUAUUUCUGCCUGUAUGAGGAAACACAUGAGCACUGAUACAGAAGGUAUCAAGCCAGCUUGCUGACCAUUGCUUCUAGGACAGCUGGAAGGUCAUGGGAAAUAUUCCACUUCACCAUUCCAAAAUCCUUGCCAUUCCAGUUUGCCUCUUUUCAUUAUUUUUAUUAUACAGAAGCCCAGCAUGUUGUUAGGUCUUUGACAAGGAUUUGAACAAAAUUUAAUAUAUAACUACAUUAUUGAAGGAGUCAUAGAAUUAUAGAAUCAUAGAAUGGUUUGUCUUGAAAGGGUUUCUUAAGAUCCCUAGUUCCAACCUCUCUGCUAUAAGCAGGGACAUCUCCUACUAGACCAGGUUCCUACAUGCCCUCAUAAAAAGUGGCCUGAUAGCUGCCUUUCAGUAUCUAAGGGGGACCUACAGGAGAGAAGGGGACAGACUCUUUGGCAGGGUCUGUGAUGAUAGAAAAAGGGGAAAUGAUUUCAAACUAAAAGAGAGGAUAUAAGGAAAAAGUCUUUUACAGUGAGGAUGGUGAGGCAUUGUAACAUAUUUCCCUGAGAAAUGGUGGAUUCCCUCUCCCUGGAGACACUGAAGAUCAGGUUGGAGGAGUUCUAAGCAACAUGAUCUACCUUUGGAUAUCCUUUUUCAUUGCAAGGAUGACCGUUAAGGGUUCCUUCCUACUCAAAUGAUAUAUGAACUUGAGCACACCCUUUCUUUCUUCCACGAUUACCCACGGAAUAUGAAAGUAAUAGAAUGUCUACUGCAUACUUGCUUUCCUUACCCCUGCCUCUCCCCAGGUUUUGCAGAUUGUAUCUGCAGUUGCAUUUUUCAUCACUUCCUCUUGAGAUUGUGGGAAAGUGAGGACAAAGUAUGACAUUAAAAACAAUUUGACUCUAAAAGGAAAAAAUAAACCAGACUAUUGCUAGGAAAACAUUAUUGAAAAUCCUAUGAAAAUAUAAAUACAAUUUAUUUUGGUAUCCUUAAUCCUCUUAAAAUGGAAGAAUUAAGCCCAAGAAGCUGUUUAACUGCAUGUAGAAAUCAUGGUGAAUUUAUCUUCAUUGGGUGACCUCAUCAAAUUAUUCUCCACUGCUGUGAUUUUUUUUGAAGACAGCUCAAUAACAUUUGACUCCCAGUUCCCAUUAGAAUUUAAUGAGAACUGGGCCUCUAAGUCCCCCAGAUUCCUUUGAAAAUAACCCAGCCUAUGAUAAAAUAAUACAGUUCUGUGCAUCCUUAAUUUCUGACAGCAUGUUCAUGUCUGGAAUAUUGAUUGCAACUGCUACUGCCAAGCACACAGAUCCCAUCACUCUUGCCUGCUUUUCCAUUAUGUCAUAAAUAGAUAGCACAGCUCAAUAGAUCAUACAGAUAGAUGGAGCUGGACUACUUACAUGGACUUGCAGGAAAAAACAACUAAUAAUAACCAAGUAUCUAACUUGAUUGGACAAAUUACUUGAAUGAUUUUUAAAAGCUCUGAAAUGAGUAACUUCGAAGAGUGAAUAACGGCGAAAACAAGGCCAGGUCCAACAGUAGUAAUUAGAUUCAAGUAAAAAAUAAAACUCAAUUGGAAAGUUUUAAAGUCUUUGUAUUAUGCAAGUAACCUGGCAAGUUUGUGGUACCAGAAAUGGGAGUUCAAUUAAAUAUUUGGAAAGCCAAAAAAAAAAAAAAAAAAAAAAAAAAACAACCCAAAAAACAAAAAACAAACAAACAAAACAAAACCCAAAACCCAAAACAAACAAAACAACAACAAAAAACCAGACAUGCAAGCAGAAUCAUUUAGUAUCCUGCUAAGCUGAAAACACAUUCAAACUAAAACGAGAACUCAGGUGGUUGAAUAAGCAAUAGGAAAAAAGGAACAGAGUUGUCAAAAUAAAAUAUAUUUCAGACUGACUUGAGUAAAAUUUUAAUCCUUGAUUUCAUUUUUCGUGUUUGUACAUUUGUUCCCAGCAGUAAAAUCACAACAUCAUUUCACAGAAAGGUAAGGAAAGGAAAGGAAAGGCAAAGAAAAAGUGCUGGUGAUUCAGCCUCCAGGCUCUCCAUAAAACCUACUAGGAAGCAGAAUGCAAAGUUGUUUUUGUAUGUCCUACUGUGACUUAUCAUGUUAUUAGAAGUCUAUUUCCUCAUCUUUCUGGGGAAAAAAAAGAAAAAAGGGACAACUCAGGAAGAUCACUGUUGGGCUUCAUUCUUCCAUGGAAUUAAAAAAAACGAAACAAAACAAAAAAAAUCCAAAGCAAACAACAAAAAAAGCAACCUGUACUCAGCAGCUAUGGUUUGCAACACUGCACCAAGAUUAGGUUAGAUAUUCAUUUUAAGAGCAGGCCAUUACUUUUGCAGUACUUCUGCAGGAGUAAGACUAAGGAAAUAGCCUAACAGAUCUCAUUCAUAUGCAGCAACUCACCAGUCUCAAUAGAUAGGAUUAACUUGGAUUCUUCACAGGGAAUCCAAUUUCAUAAUUAUUUUGUUUAGUUUUAUCAUUUUAUUUUAUUUUUACUUUAUUUAAUGAAUUUAAAUGAAAAUAUCUAGAAAUCUAUCAGGAACUGGGACUCCAUUUUGUCCCCUGUAUGUGGGGCCUACUAUAAAACUGCAAAACCAAAAUUGUGGUUCAUAUUCUUUUAACAUCUCCAAUCUAAAGAGGAAAGAUAAAACUGAGAUACAGAGGAUUUGGUGUCCAAGGAGCCAGUGGAAUGCCUAAGGGCAGUUUAAAGCAAACUUGAAUGUUUACACAGUCUCAAACCACCCUUCUUUUCUGAACACACCAGGGGAGACAAAAUUUGUCAUCCUAGCAGGCAGGAGUGUAAGUACAUCUCCUGCAUACCUGCUGCCAAAGGGUAUUUGUAUGUUUGAAAGUUACUGCGGCAAAAGAAUGUCAAGCAAUGACUUAAAGACUGAUGAAGUGCUUUCUGGACAUCACUGAUGAAGUUCUCCUUAAAGCAGGUGGCCUAGCAUCAAACAAAAUAUAAAUAUACCUGCUGGAAAAAUAGAAUGAUUAGUUAACACCAUAGGGCAAACAAAUGUUAAACUGACCUCAAGUCCAAAGGAGAGAUGAAAGACAGAUGGGGGCUGGUGAAUGCACUUGAUAAUGUUGUUGGGAGCCUUAAAUCUGGUGGACAGAGAAACAGGAACCUUUGGAUGGAUGGAUGCAUAGGGUGACAAGGAUGAAACUAUGGAAAUCUGAAAUACUACCUCCUGGUACAUUUGCAUUUCAGGAAUCUGAGCACUUAAAUAGAGAGAGGCAGUGGCGAUGAAAUGGAAGAUAAGUUUUACUCAUGAAUUAGUUGUAAUCAUCUGUAAUAUUGUGUUAGCUGGAGAGCAAACGUUUAGGAGCAUGAUCAGGAAGAUUAGUUGAUUUUCCACUUGUAUCAUAUAACGUAUGAAUACAACAAAUUCUGCAACAUAUUAAAUAUAUAUGGAAUUAUUUUAUUUUAUUUUAACUUAUAGCAAAGGUGAUUUACUUCUUUACACAAGAAAGAUUCCUAUGACUAUUUGUAGUCAUAGAACUUAGCAGUCUAAGUUCCAAAGUUGAAACUUUAAUUGGAACUAUAGGAAAUCUCCUCUGAUAGCUCUGAUAAUAGAUAGCUCCUCUGAUACAUCUAACCAGUAAUAAUUUCACAUCUAUAGAUUUUUGAUGUGGCCUUUUAAUGUACUUUUGGAUCCUCCUGCAUGAUGAUGAUUCUGGUCUUGCAAGCUGCUGUGUGUAGGCAGCCCCUGACACCAGAGACCACUGCUGUGGGAGUUAGAAAGUCUGUGCUCAGAUGGAAAGGUCAAACUGCACAGAAUAGCUUGCAGGUUCAGAAGCCUGCCUGAAAUACUCUCAGCUUAGAACAAACCUGAAUUACUUUGUGAGUAUGAAACAUUUAACACGAGAGCCUGCAAAAAGUGGUAAAGGUUUUGUAUAUAGCUGUCUAAGAUGAGCUAACCUAAGACUUAAUUAGCUAUAAUAUACAAAGAAACCCUUUUUAAUAAAUAAUUAAAUAAUUAAAAUCCUGGCCUGUGACAGUAGCAAAAUCAGUUUUGCAGUUGGAAGUCUACUUCUGUGCUUUCUUUAUUAUUAAAUACAUCAUUUUAAGAAGGCAAUUUUGAACUGAAUAGAUGUGAAUCUAAGAACACCAAAACCCACUUUGUGUCUUGAUAGAAACAUUUUUUUUGUGUGUUUUGAUCCUGGAAAUUUCACAUCUCUCUUUUAACUUUCUUAAGAAAUAACAUUACUUCUGUUUCUCCAGUCGUUUACUUGCUUAAACUCCAGAGCAUACUGGUGUGCUGCAUAAUUGGAACAAAGCUUAAUAUUGUAAAUAAAAACCUUUACCUCCAAAUCUGCAGAGGAACUGUAUUUAAAGAAAUGAAACAAAAUAGAAUUUAAAUGCUUAAAUACAAGAUAAUGUUUAGAAACUUUAGCUGCCCACAAUCAAACAUUCCCAGCUGAAGUUUGAUUACUUUGGCUUGCAUUUAUCUGAUACUAAAAAAAAUAAGGAUUGGUUGUCAUCGAGGUAUUGGAAAGUGACAAAUAUAAUAUAAUUUCUAAAAAGAAUGACCAUCAACCCAGUACUGCAUACAGUAUGGAUGAAAGAAAGCCCUUUUUACCUAGCUUCAAAUUCCCCACAGCCUUCUGGAUUUUACAUAUUUACCACAGGUACUCAUAGAACUGAGUUGUUUGAAAUGUGAAAAUGUCUGAAUGUGUUUUCAGGAGCAGCCUGAAUAAUGUGGACAACACAUCAACAGAGAGCAAAACUAAUACAGAUACACUGAAUAAAAAGGACAGAGAGGGAGAAAAAGAUGUAGAUGAAAAUGCAUAACAACAGGGCAUAAAAACAGUGUCAAUAUCCUUAUCUAUUUAAUUAAUGUUGGAAAUAAGUUUAGUUACAAAUUAUGCAAUAAUAAUUAAUUAACAAUCUAACUCUAGAUUCUCAUGUCAUUAUUCAUCUUUAAAAAUAUUUGAUACAGUGGUUAUUGAUGAGUUUUGUAUUUUUCUAGUAGCUUUGCUAACCCCUGAUUAUUACUGCUCAUAUAUUGACCUUUUUGCCAUAUGUUUUGAUCAACUUUGAAUUAUUAGUAUUUAAAUUUUCUAACAGAUUAUUGAAGUCUCAAAAUACAAUGGUUUUUGUAGCAAAAUCAUUAAUGUGAUAAGAUGCAGAUCAAAAGGAGUGUUCACCACCGUGAAUACAAAUAGUACAAUAUGAAUUAAUAUGAAAAAAUGAAACACUGUGAACAACAGACUUCCAUUAAUGUGUUAGUGAGCAUAUUAAUGACAAAAUUGCUGAAAGAUACAAUGAAAAGUCUCAACUAAGAAAAAAAAUAUGGAACAUUUCUCAGAAUAUAAAUGAAUUCCUAAAUGAAACAAUUUAAAGGUUAAUUUGGUAUUAUUUCCUGGAUAUGUGUGUCAAAUUUAUUCAUUGAUCAAAAGCACUCUUUUACACAAACAAACAGAUAAAUGCCCUUGAUAAUAAACAGCAUUUGAAAUGCUACAUCAGGUGAUAGUGCAGACUACUUUCCUUUGGUCUAGUGAGUCAUUCAGGGAGUAAGACUAUCUUAUCCACACAGACCCAGUGUACUGAAAUUUAUGACAGUCAUUCACAGUUUGGGGGCUGCUAGAUUGCAUAUGUUCUUUCAAAGAGAUCUUAUUAGGUAUUCUGCUGCUGAGGCAUCUGCUGGUCAGGGUAAUCUUGAUGCAGGUCAUGUAGAAGACUUGUGGACAUGAAGAACAGCAUUUUUCCAUUACUAGCUUGAUUCCAAAACCAAUGAACUAUUAGCUAUGGUGGUGCAGGAGACUUUUCACCAGUGUUUUAUUAAGAAGUCCAGGGUCUCUAAAUUUGGCAGUGCCCAUGGGCCAUAGUUAUAUUCUACUAAUGAGAAAAUUAUGAUACUGACAUCAGCUUCCCAAUCCUUUUCCCUAAAGAAAACACAUAGCAUAUUAAUCUGUAUAAUUAAUGUCAUGUUUCUUCAUAUCCUCUCUCUCCAAUUAUCCUCAAAAUAAUUCUGUUUGACUCCAAAUACCUGAAAUCUUUAAAAACUUUAUACCAAUAUCUCUAUGGUAGAUCUCUUUGAGUGUAGUUGUAACUCAUAACAAAAACAUUGUAUUUCUGUUAACGUAUGGAUAAUUACAUCAGAAGUCACAUACAGACCAUCAUGAGAAUAAUGCUCGUUCUUAUUGCUGUAUUUUGAAAUUUAAAGAUCCUUAGCACUGAAUAAGUGACAGAAGUAUGCACAAUAAAUUUAUACUAUUGCUUUUAAACUCAUAUCUGCCUUUUUGAUAGUAGAGAACAGCAGAGAAAAUAAUUAAAUACCUACAAAAAUAUUUUGUUUGUAUGUGGUGUUUUGGAGAGAAAGGUAGGUAAGAUUUAUUUAUAUUAAUAAUGUGUCACCAUUUUAUGUACCAGAAACUGCAUAGUUAAUAACUGCACUUGAGUUACAGUGAAGAUUUUCAAUACUUUCAAAUGAAAUUUUAUAUAAAUUCUGAUUUGUUUUAAUAAAAUUUAAAUGUUUGGUAACAG